AACGAACGCUGGCGGCAUGCCUAACAUAUGCAAGUCAAACGAGACCUUCGGGUCUAGUGGCGCACGGGUGCGUAACGCGUGGGAACCUGCCCUUAGGUUCGGAAUAACUCCCCGAAAGGGGUGCUAAUACCGGAUAAUGUCUUCGGACCAAAGAUUUAUCGCCUUUGGAUGGGCCCGCGUUGGAUUAGCUAGUUGGUAGGGUAAAAGCCUACCAAGGCGACGAUCCAUAGCUGGUCUGAGAGGAUGAUCAGCCACACUGGGACUGAGACACGGCCCAGACUCCUACGGGAGGAAGCAGUGGGGAAUAUUGGACAAUGGGCGAAAGCAUGAUCCAGCAAUGCCGCGUGAGUGAUGAAGGCCUUAGGGUUGUAAAGCUCUUUUACCCGGGAUGAUAAUGACAGUACCGGGAGAAUAAGCCCCGGCUAACUCCGUG
rnacentral:rRNA from 1 species